UCCAGGGUGGCCGAGUGGUUAUGGCAUCGGGCUUCAAAGUCCUAGGCUGCAUGCCUUCGCAUAGUAAAUUGUAUGGAAAAAGUUUUACAGAUAAAUGUUAUCAAAAAAUAAAAUAAUACUUGAGUAAAGACUGCGUAAUUUGCAGCAAUGGAAAGCUACCCAGAAUGCUUUGGUAAAAGGAGUGUUUCUUCUAAGAGAGUGAAGCAUCUGCCUAAGGAACAUUGCUACACGAUUCACUCAGUGAUCGUAGGUUCGAAUCCUGCCCCUGGGC